rnacentral:lncRNA from 1 species
UUCUUUCUGGUCAAUCUUUAUUUUACACGUUUGCAUCACAGCAGGGAAACCAAGUUACACAGACCAUCCUGAUAUGUAUCUAGCUUGACUUCUCUUCAAAUGGUGUUUGUUGUUUAAUAAAGUUUAAAAAAAUACUGAAAAAAAAUCCAUUUGUACAUCUGAACAUGAACUGAGGAAUAGGAUAUUUACAGGUCACCAAGACCCCUGGAAUUGGACCUUGCUGUACACAGGAAAGUCUUCUGGAGCUCUUUCGGAGAUCAUUUACUACGUGAAUUCAAAGCUACAUUGUACAAGGUGCCCUAAAGCUGCUUAAUGACACAAAAGGAUCUAGAAUUAAUUAUUAAUAGUUACUAAAGGGAAAGAGAAGCUAUUUAGACCCAUACUCUGUUUUGACAGACCAGGUACAAGCCCAGCAAUCCAGUAUCCUAGCUACAAGACAAAGUGCUUUGGAUAAUGUGGAGGUCAGGCUCUAUUUUAUUACACAGAGAGCAGAAGACUUGAGAGAAAUCCCACAGGGAAAUGUUUAUUAAGAGUUGUCCUUUCUACAGGAUUGCUGCUGUCAAAACAUAAAUGGGUUCUUGAGCCAGUCAACCUACAAGGAGCAACUCUCUUCUCAGCCACUUUCUUCCAGUACCAUCACUUUACACAUAAAUAUCUCAGUAUUUUUCUUAGAUUCUGUUCCAGCCACUUGCAAGUACGUCUCAUGGGUGGUUCUUACAGGAUCAUUGCUAUAUCCAAGUGAGAAACUACAAGGGGGAAAACACACAGCUUCCCAACAUUGCUAAGUAAAAGCGAUUAAUAAGCCCAAACCAGCAUCAGAUUCAGUGGCUACAAGAAAAGCCCUAUUAAUCCAAUUUAGAACAAUGGUUUUGAGCAAAUCAACCCCAGGGAACACAAAGAAACAUUUGGUCAAGUGCCUCUGGGCAGCAGCACCUCAGCAUUCAGGAAACAUUCAGGCUACUGAAGUUACAAGAUCAUAGGUUUUAGCGUAAGUGCUGUUUUAUUUCAAGUAUCACUGUGCCUCCCCUCUACUGCAGACCACAGCUCCAUGCUCCUUUUACCAAGGUGAGAAAAUGGGAAAACGUUUGAUGAUUGGAGGUGAUAACACAGAAUCAAUAAAGCACAUCUGCUUUAAAGGAACGGAAGUCUGUUUGCUAUCAUGACAGGUCAGAUGAAAGGAGACAAACCAGGUAGGCUGAAGGAGAAGGAUUUCCUUCCCUUCACUACCUUGCUACCACCUGAUGAUUUUAAUAGCUAAGCAACUUCAGUUCUCGGAGCAAAACAUACAAAUACCCAAUAUUUGCUUCAAAUGCAGCUGGGCAAAUUUCCAGUAGGGAGUUUUUUGGUUGUCUUUCUUGUCAACUGGAUUAUCAUUGGCCAGACUGCAUUUCUCUUCUGUAAGAGGAGCAUACCGUAAGGAAGAAAACAAACAAAAAAAGACAACACUAUCUUCAACUGGCUUUCAAAUGUGCACACUGGAGUGAUUAGGAUAUGCCCUUUCACAGCCAGAAGGAACGUUGCAGUGCUGAAGUAUACAUGGUGGAUGCACACUCAUGCUAGAGAGAGUCCACUUAGCUUAGCACAAUACACCUUCCACAUUGCUAGCUCCAAGACAAAAUACUGCAAUGCAGCAAAUUGUUACAACAUGCUCCCAGGGUAUGCCAGCAUGGAAAUCCAGGAACAGGGCACUCAGCUGGAGAGAAGCACUGAACAAUGCACCGCACAGAUCAUGACACGCUGAGUUAGAUGACAACAUGAAAGAGCAUCUUAAUAGGACAGCAUGUGGCUUCUUCAGCUCGAACCGCUCCGUUUUGAGCGAGCAGCAGCAAUGUUCCAGAUGACCCCAUUAUGUCUUGCUUUCUGUUAGCACAUUUCUUGAUGAACCAUCAAGGAAAACAUUUUCAAGCCUGAAGAAUGCAAGAGCCUGGCAGCUGCACUGCAAGGAGGUUUCCUCUGGAAGACAGCUUCUGAACAGUUACAGCAGGAAGGAGGAGUGCAUCAAUGGCAUUUGCAUGUCAUCAUCAACAGGGAUUUACUGGGGCAUAAUCUGCAUUACAACUGAAGAUUGAACCAAUCUCAUUUUCGUCUGCAGAUGGUGCGCAGGACUCCACUGCAGCAACAUAUGUGAAUGCAUUUAAACCCAUUUAUUCUGAAUUGCACCACACCUGCUUUUCCAGGGCUCCCGUCAUUCUACCGCUGUGCGCUCAGAGGGUGAUCAUUUUAAUUGCUUGCUUCAGUAAAAGGCAGGAACAGGAAAUAAGAAUCCAUCCCAAAACAAUUUGUAAGCCACAAGCAGCUCUUCUAUUUCCCCUGCCUGUGAAAGACAGAGCUUCCUACCAGAUAGGCAGCUGUCAGCAUUUGAAAAGCAAGCACUGUGAUUAUCCUGCCUGGUGAGCUCUAAGCUGCUGUAUUACACCACUAAUAGAGCCAUGCACUGGCUAGUUCUGCAGAUGCAGGUUCACCUUGAGAGGAUGAGGCAGGGAGUAACCCUCCCUUUGAUGCUCUGCAGUGCAAACCACACUGUGCUGCAAGAGAAACACAACCACAGCCAUCCUCUCCACCCUCCGUUGUCCAAUCCAUCGUACAACCCUGCAAGACAAGUUUUUUGACCUGCUCCAAGGAAUCCCAUUAGAGAAAGUGGAAAUUCACAUUGGAAAUGGCUGCAGUAAGAACCUUCUAUCACUCUUUCUUGUCUUUUUCUACACUAAUGCUUAGGUCUCACUAGUUACUACUGUGCAGCUGGUUAGCAUCCUGCAUUAAGUGCCAGCUGAGGUUGGCUUUACAGCUGAGUGCUGAAGCUCAGGUCUGAACUCAAGAAAAGCUCUUCUAAAAAGCACUCUGAGAGUACUGUCAUGGCUUUUUAUGCCAGACAAAAAGAAACCACCAUUUUUUGGCCUUUGACUAGUGAGCCAGGGACUUGGUAGAUAAACCUACACCAUAUGCAACUUGAGAAAAAAAAAAAAGUGCAUAUAAAAAACAGAAA